UAUUUUAGGAGAAGAGAUAAACCUUACGGAAGGAAGUUCAAAGUCAAUUGGUUUGAUGGCUGGGGUUUAUGAUGGAAGCACUUUUGACAUUCCUCAGUUUGCUUACAUGAAUAUCCACGUGCAUAUUGAGGAUGAUAUAGUGGAACUUGUGGACAAGGAUGAUUUCUCAGUCCCUAAUGGUGGAUAUGUUAGAAUGCAGAAUUUCAAAAUCAGGGCAUAACAUCUUGGCAUCACAACACUUUACGUCAGUGCUAGACGCCAUUUUGGACAUGAAAUAUCAAGUCAGGCUAUCAAGGUUGAAGUUUAUGCUCCACUAACAAUUCACCCACCAAAUAUUUUCCUUGUACCAGGUCCCUCUUACUUGCUGACUAUAAAAGGAGGUCCGACCCUUGGUGCCUUUGUGGAAUACACAAGUACAGAUGAUGUUGUGUUUUAAAAGGCGCAAGGCGCUCUAAGGCGAUUA